rnacentral:lncRNA from 1 species
CUUUCAAUCGGUAUUAUUUUUAUUAGGUUGGCGCUAAUGUCAAAUUCUAUCAUAAUCUUGAAUAUAAUGAAAUUUUAUUCAAAAACGAUUAUCGGUAUACCCAACUAUUUUCUACAAGUACAAAUAAAUCAUUUUUCUUCAAGUAAUAUAUACCGUAACUCUCACUCAUACCCUCACUCACAAGUCAGUAGAACAAGUGCAGUUACUGAGGAAAGAAGGAAGGAAGGAUUCUAUUACAAGCUACGACGAUGCAAUCAACGACGAUAGGCGCCGUUGACUCGAAAUCAACUUUUUUGAUUGUACGAUAGAUUCUAAUAAAAACAUCACGAAAACAGGUAUAUUUUUAGAGUGAAUCUUUAACAUAACGAAAUUGUCGAUUCGAAUGUUAUCCAUCGGUCGAUGGGCGGCCAAUCUCCAAUUCUGUAAUGUAUGGUUUUUU